UGUUAAUCUAAUACAGCUCCGGCGAUCCACUAGCACCCCCCCCCCGCGGUGGUUUUGGAAAUGCUCCCGAUUUCUGAGGUCUCAAGGUUGGCAAGUAUGACCAUAUGACUCAUUUCAUGACUAUAUGAAUGACGAUUGACCUCCUGUAAUGUUGUGUUGUACAAUCUUUCUUUAGGAACUUGAGAAUGUAAUUAUUAUCCUAUUUUGUGCAAUCAAAUGUGUAUUUAUAACUGUCUGAUUUGAAUUAAGAACAUAUGUGAUCACUGCUGACACGCUUCUGAGUGUGUGUGCUCAUUACAUUUCCUCUGGUGUACUGUGGUGUGUAUGUUGGGUAGGUGGGACGAUCUAGGUGAUUGAAAGCAGGAAGUAAAUUAAACAAGGUAAUCAUUUACAACAGUUGCUGCUGUGAUAGUACUCGAGACCACCAUGAGACCUCACUACUGCCUGACCGUCCUUAUUGCAUCCUUACUAGUAGAGCCCCUCUUCACUCUGAAUGGUACGUUUUUGUUAUUCAAUCUACAGCUAAAUACUCAAAAGGGCAGCGUUAAAAACCUACAGAAAAAGAAACUGCAUAGAAUGUGAAUGAGGUUAUAAUUCGAGAAGGAAGGGUAAAAUACAUGAGCGUCCAUUUGAGUGGAGACCAAUGAAUGGCUGUCAAACUGUAAUACAAUAUAGAAAUUGGAUCUGUAUUGCAGUAAUUUAAGUUAUAGAUUGUGUAAGUGGAGGUAGAGGUUGAUGGAACAUAUUAGCCAUUCUUCUAAUACAAAGAUAUCAGGGACUAGAAAUGACAUAAAAUGUGUUUCGGCAUUAUAUUCCUCCUCCUGGAAAAGGGCAGAACAGCAAUGUAAUUAUGUAUUAUUUGUAAUAUCACUAUCAAAGACAUUGGAGCUCAUUCGCUUUGAAUUUCGGCCGCAUUGAAUGGCACUUUCCAAAAAGAAAAUGCCCCGCUUUUUGGGGAUUUGCAGUCUCAAUCCGAGCCAUGGCUACAAUCUCUGACAGUCGGUAAUGUUAACUUAAACAUAUCUAACGUGGAAGGAAGUAGCACAAAUCUCAAGGUUAAAAGAAAAGGUGCAAUGACCACAAAAACAUCACGUCUGAGUCGCUGACCUGAUUUUACAGUUAGAGGUCUGCAGCUGCAGCGUGAGAAACAAACCAAUAGCUUAUCUGUGAUCUAAUUAUUUAGUUAUUGCUCAUUCAGAUCUAAUGACUACAUAAAGGGUCAUUGUGUUCAUAGCCUUUUAAAACACAUUAACAGAUAAAGACAUCCACAUAUUGCAUGCAUCACCUACCCUGCAAACAACACAACGCAGGGGAAUGUAUUUUAUAUUGCAUUCUGGGGGUUUAUUACAAGAUGCAAUAGAUUAUUAUACAAAAUGCAGGUCUAUUUGGUACAUAAUGAAGUAAAAAUGUAUUUAUUUUGUGUUAGAUUAUUACAAAAUGCCUUGCUGAUACAUAAUGUGUUGUUGCAGGCCUUUACUAUUGCCUAUAAUAAUCAUAUUGAAGAUAUAAAGUCACCUUUGUUGUGGAAAGUAAACAAUGUGAAUGCUUUUCAGGGGACGUAAUGGAGCCUGAAAAACCGAAGAAGCAAGAAUUGAGAUCUUGGUAUUCCACAAUCCGCAUUUUUGGGGCCGUGGUGUUUUUAUCCAUAAUGCUAAUUAUUUGUGCAGGAGCAUCCGAGGACACAACACAUCCGAGCCCUCAGAACUAUGAUGCCUUGCAUGCCACUCACUUCUAUGAUAACGACCAGUAGUCCCAAUGUGUGUGCAUUUAAAACAAUCAAAUCUGUAACUUGUAAUUGUGUUUUCAUGGCCUUGAAAUGUAUUUAUUUUUUACUGUUGACAAUAUAUAAUAUCUUUCUUCAUAAUGGUGUUUACUGUCAAAAAUAAAAUAUAUAUUGAAUAUA